rnacentral:lncRNA from 10 species
CCUGGCCGCGACAGCACCCACAACUCCGAUCACUGCUCCUUCUUUUUCUGCGCUUUCCUUUCUCCCCCACAAGCUUCUGAUUCUUGGAACCAGGCUCGGUGACCUCACGCGAGUGACUUCAUAUCCGGGACUUUCUGGGAAUUCUCAGCAGCACUUUUUCGCCGCCACCUCCAACCAAUCGGACUGGCUCUUCUGUCAUUCGGGUCACCUCCGCUGAGAUGCCUUCCCUGACCACCCAAGUUGAAGGAACUGCUAACCUUUUCUCUUGGACUUUGUUUUUUAUUUCCUUCACAGUAUUUCUCCCCUCUAAAAUUAUCUUGUCUGCUUCUACCUAUAUUGCCUUCCCUCUUGAAACCUAAGUUCCAUAAACUGAGGCACAAAUUCUGCCUUGUUCAUCUCUGUUCUCAGCACUCUGAACAGAACCUGGCAUGAAUGAGGUGCUCAAUAAAAGUUACUUGGAUGAAUC